GACGAACGCUGGCGGCGUGCUUAACACAUGCAAGUCGAACGGAAAGGCCCUGCUUUUGUGGGGUGCUCGAGUGGCGAACGGGUGAGUAACACGUGAGUAACCUGCCCUUGACUUUGGGAUAACUUCUGGAGACUGGGGCUAAUACCGGAUAGGAGCUCUUGCUGCAUGGUGGGGGUUGGAAAGUUUCGGCGGUUGGGGAUGGACUCGCGGCUUAUCAGCUUGUUGGUGGGGUAGUGGCUUACCAAGGCUUUGACGGGUAGCCGGCCUGAGAGGGUGACCGGCCACAUUGGGACUGAGAUACGGCCCAGACUCCUACGGGAGGCAGCAGUGGGGAAUAUUGCACAAUGGGCGGAAGCCUGAUGCAGCAACGCCGCGUGCGGGAUGACGGCCUUCGGGUUGUAAACCGCUUUCGCCUGUGACGAAGCGUGAGUGACGGUAAUGGGUAAAGAAGCACCGGCUAACUACGUG
rnacentral:rRNA from 1 species